AAAUAGCCCUGAUUGAAGUGGAAAGCUUUUUUGAAAAAAAUAUAGUUUUUGUAAUUUUUAUGGAGCGACCAACAGAAGCUUUAUAAAAAUAAUACAAAAACAUAUUUUUGAGAAAAACUUGUAACGAAAAGCAGGAAAUAGC
rfam:Flavobacterium sp. ov086 genome assembly, contig: Ga0070134_112